GACGAACGCUGGCGGCGUGCUUCACACAUGCAAGUCGAACGGGGAUGCAGCAAAAGCUUGCUUUUAUUGCAUCCUAGUGGCGGACGGGUGAGUAACACGUGAGCAACCUGCCCGACAUACUGGGAUAACAGCGGGAAACCGUUGCUAAUACCGGAUACUCCAUUUCUGGCGCAUGUCAGAGAUGGGAAAGGGUUUACCGAUGUCGGAUGGGCUCGCGUCCCAUUAGCUGGUUGGUGAGGUAACGGCUCACCAAGGCUGCGAUGGGUAGCUGGUCUGAGAGGACGAUCAGCCACACUGGAACUGAGACACGGUCCAGACUCCUACGGGAGGCAGCAGUGGGGAAUAUUGCACAAUGGGCGAAAGCCUGAUGCAGCGACGCCGCGUGGAGGAUGAAGGUCUUCGGGUCGUAAACUCCUGUCUGGGGGGAUGAACACUGACAGUACCCCCGGAGGAAGCCCCGGCUAACUACGUGCCAGCAGCCGCCGUAA
rnacentral:rRNA from 1 species